CCCCCCCCCCCCCCCCCCCCCCCCCCCCCCCCCCCCCCCCCCCCCCCCCCCCCCCCCCCCCCCCCCCCCCCCCCCCCCCCCCCGGGGAUAGAGCGGGGAGGGAGCGGGGAUAGAGCGGGAUAGAGCGGGAUAGAGCGAGGAGAGAGCGGGGACAGGGCGGGGGAUAGAGCGGGAUAGAGCGGGGACAGAGCGGGACAGGGAGGGGACAGAGCGGGAGCGGGAUAGAGCGGGGACAGAGCGGGGAUAGAGCGGGAUAGAGCGAGGAGAGAGCGGGGACAGGGCGGGGAGAGAGCGGGGAUAGGGAGGGGAGAGAGCGGGGAUAGGGAGGGGAUAGAGCGGGAUAGAGCGGGAUAGAGCGGGGACAGAGCGGGGAUAGAGCGGGAUAGAGCGAGGAGAGAGCGGGGACAGGGCGGGGAGAGAGCGGGGAUAGGGAGGGGAGAGAGCGGGGAUAGGGAGGGGAUAGAGCGGGAUAGAGCGGGAUAGAGCGGGGACAGAGCGGGGAUAGAGCGGGAUAGAGCGAGGAGAGAGCGGGGACAGGGCGGGGAGAGAGCGGGGAUAGGGAGGGGAGAGAGCGGGGAUAGGGAGGGGAUAGAGCGGGAUAGAGCGGGAUAGAGCGGGGACAGAGCGGGGAUAGAGCGGGAUAGAGCGAGGAGAGAGCGGGGACAGGGCGGGGAGAGAGCGGGGAUAGGGAGGGGAGAGAGCGGGGAUAGGGAGGGGAUAGAGCGGGAUAGAGCGGGAUAGAGCGGGGACAGAGCGGGGACAGGGCGGGGAGAGAGCGGGGAUAGAGCGGGGAGAGAGCGGGGACAGGGCGGGGAGAGAGCGGGGAUAGAGCGGGGAGAGAGCGGGGACAGAGCGGGGACAGGGAAGGGUAGAGCGGGGACAGGGAGGGGAUAGAGCGGGGACAGGGCGGGGAGAGAGUGGGACACCACUCCCAUGUCCCUCAGCCCCAAGGGACAUGAGUGGAAUUGCUCCCAUGUCCCUCAGCCCCAAGGGACAUGAGUGGCAUUGCUCCCAUGUCCCUCAUCCCAAAGGGACACCACUGACACCAUUCCCAUGUCCCUCAUCCCAAAGGGACACCACUGACACCAUUCCCAUGUCCCUCAGCCCCCGGGGACACCCAAGGGCUCCCAUGUCCCUCAGCCCCAAGGGACAUUAGUGGCAUUGCUCCCAUGUCCCUCAUCCCAAAGGGACACCACUGACACCAGUCCCAUGUCCCUCAGCCCCCGGGGACACCAGUGACACCAUUCCCAUGUCCCUCAGCCCCAGGGGACACCCAAGGGCUCCCAUGUCCCUGCUCCUGUGUCACUGUCACCUGCAUCCCU
rnacentral:lncRNA from 1 species